rnacentral:lncRNA from 1 species
GAAAGUUCUGAUCUUGACAGUUCACGUAACAUUCAAUCAAUUAUACCAUUGCUCUAUCUCUAAAGUUUUCUUUUUCUCCUUUUCUCAGUGUCUUACCAAGAAUGAAAGGCAACCUAUGUAAAAACUAUGGGCUUUCUAGUAUAAAUAAAAACUACUCAUCUCCAGAAAAUAAACAAUGACUGCUAAGAUGAUUGAAAAAAGAAAGGAGAAGAAAGUAGCUUGUAAAAGCGUGUGAAAUGCAUUCACGUUGGAAUCUCCUACAGGCACUUCAGGGUGUGGACAUGUUUUUCAGGUCUUCAGACUGUAAACAUUUUAAGUGUGAUUGCUGUGAAUGAAGGAAACCCAGAGCCAUCAUGACAAGCCUAAACUCAAAGGGGACUGAUUUCUUCUACACUGAAUGUUUCAUUAGUGACAGGGCCCAGAUAAUAAAGAAUUGUGCUCACUUCCUGUGAGUGAUGGCUUUCCCUCAAUUGUAUGCUGAGUAACAUUUACAGUAUUCAUUUUUAAGCACCCAUCUUCCUGGGAGCCCUAUUUCCCCUAAGCUUUCAAUUGAUCCUCCUAAGAGCAGAGAUCACUUAGGCACUGAGCUAUGCAGCUGCUGCCUGAGUCUCCUGGACGCCUGCCCUCACCUCCAGCCACAUGAAAAACAUUCAAGCUUUAACUUCAGAAAUGUUCUCUAACCCACUCCCAGACACCCAACUGAUUAAAUCAUAGAUUAGAGGAAAAAAUUCUUGCCUGAAAUUGUCAUCUUGCACGUAUGCUGAUGUCCAGAAGGACACAUCCUGGUGGGAAGUGACUGCAUGUUUUGUUCAUAUUACAAGUCCUGUUGACAAAAGAGAAUAAUACAGGUGUCCUCCUGAAACUGUCACCACAGUGACCUUCCUCAGUCAAAAAGAAAUAUAAAUAUUAUUGUGUUUCUCGUGUCUGAGGCACCUCUGAAAGCAUUUAUCUUUUCAGAGAGUUCAGCACUUCAUCUCACGGGUUAAUUAAACCAACCUGUAGUGGCAAAGUUUAGUGGUAGUGAAAAUAAACAUAAUCCUCUUUCUGUUGCCCAACCUUUCAGUUUCAUUUUGUAAUUUUUCAAUACAGGGGCACAAUAAGUGAUAAUCCUGGAUUCCAAAUGAUUUCCACUUCUUUCUCUGCCACCUUCCCUGCCCCAACACCUGCCAUCCCUCAUUUACACAAUUCAAGUAAUCAAGGGGCAGUUUGGCUCCCUUUUUCUGGAGGCAAACUUUUGCAGAGUUUUAACUUACUCAGUGGGAAGAAAAGCCCCCAAAACACUGAAGCAUACCAAGCAAAUAAAUAAAUAAAUGCACAAAGGCUCCCUGCGGUUGUCUGACGAGGAUACUGGAGCAAGCAGCCUGAAGAACAAACGUCUGACUGUUGAAACAGCGAGACAGGAAUAAACCCAUGGGGCCACAUCUGGGAGUGUGAGUGUGUGAAUGGAACUAAGCUGGUCUCCCACACAACAGGAAUUCCACCAAAAGUAUGCGCUCUGUAUGGGAGGACAGAAAAAAAAUGUGUUUAAAAUAUCACUAAGGAAACCCAGAUACAUUAUCUCUGCCAGACUACAGAAGACAGUACAGUUAGUGCUUGUCUCAAAAUGACAGAAACAGAGAACAUGCUUUGAUGAUGUCGAAGAUGCAGGAAAAUAGAAAAAUAAAAACGGUGGAAAGAUUUUUUUUUAAUGCCCUAAAAUGAGCAAGACGCCUCCCUUUUCAUAGCACCAGGAGACAUUUCCAUUGCUUUUUUUUCAUGCUUGUGGCUUUUUGAGGGCAAAGAGUAAGUGAAAUCCAAUAAUUUGGUCUUUCUGCUCCAAAGUUUUGGCUGCCAUAAACUUAUUGUUCGAAUAUCAGAAUGGUUGUUCCUGCUUUGACGCCUGUGAAACAAUUUGUUUCAAUAUCAUAGCACAGUUUUAAAAGUAUGUUUUGACUCCAGAAAUAUGUUUGACCUCAGAAUUUUGAAAGCGUGUUUUGACCUUUAAACUCUUACUUCAAGAAGACAUAUGUGUGCAUGUGUGUGUUUGUAGGGUGUGUGUGUGUGUCUUGUAGAAUCUCACAUUUUAUUCAGUAGCUUAGCUCCAUUUCAAUGCCAG